GCGGGGCCUAGGGACAAAAGGGGCAUGACUAAAGUCCACUAGGCUAGUUUGCCUUGGCUUAGUCUGUCAGUAACCCCUCAGACUGUGCCCUGAAGGGUGAGGUCCCAACUGGAACUCGGGUCCUUUCACCUGCCUGUGAACUCCAACUCCAGUCAGACAAUCCUGAGCUGCCUCUGUUUCCAGGUAUGCCCCAGAAUGCCUAAAGGAGUGCAAGUUUUACUAUGCAUCUGAUGUCUGGUCCUUCGGGGUGACCCUUUAUGAGCUGUUGACAUACUGUGACUCUAGCCAGAGUCCCCCCACGAAAUUCAUCGAGCUCAUCGGCGUAACCCAGGGCCAGAUGACUGUGCUGAGGCUCACAGAGCUGCUGGAGCGAGGGGAGAGGCUGCCGCGGCCUGACAGAUGUCCCUGUGAGAUCUAUCACCUCAUGAAGAACUGCUGGGAGUCAGAGGCCUCCUUC
rnacentral:lncRNA from 1 species